rnacentral:ncRNA from 1 species
AAUUUUUAAAGCGCCUGAGCUAGUUUUAGCUGACGAGGACGGGGUUAAUCGAAAAUCGGCGGAUUCCCUGCGGUAAUGUCUAUCGUUAUUUAUCUUACAAAGCUUUAAAGCAAUUUAAAGUACAAAGGGAUAAA